CAGUUUUUUCUUUUUCUUCUUUUUUUGCUUUUUAGGCCUGCACCCACGGCACAUGGAGUACGGCCCUAAAAAAAACAAAAACAAACAAAAAAAAGAGAGAGUCUGGUUUAAAGUGUGGUCCCUGGGCCAGCAGCAGCCCCUGGACAAGGUAGAAAUGCAAAUCUCAGGCCCCACCCCGGGCCUCCUGACUCAGAAACACCGGGGUACAAUGACUUAAUGGCAAGGCCCCCGGUGUCCAUUCCGACUCAAAGGACAGGGGCAAGGGACAGGUCAGCACGAGGACUGCCGGCUAAGACACGAAGGCGGGAGCAGUGGGCCAGGAGGUGUCCGGACAAAGCGGGUGUGAGACACACACGGGGCGGGGGGUGAGCCAAGGCCAACAGAGGGGAGCCCGGGAUCUUCAGUCUCAGAGGCUGACAAGUCCCGAGGGGUGACAAUGGCCUUGCCCACUCACGGCUGGGGCGGAGGUUGCUGGGAUGGGAGGCCAGCGGGGUGCAGGGUGUUGGCCCACCUGGGAUGGACCGGGCUGCGCUGGAGAAGAAGGCCAGGAGCCCGUCCUCCCCGGAUCCCGCACACCUGGCUCCGAGGAUGGAAACGCGGUCCCCUGCGGGUGUCAGACUCUUGGAGAAAUUCAUCAGGGUUCUCUAGAGAAACAGAACCGAUGGACUGUGUGUACGUACAAGGACACUGCUGACAAGGACUGGCUCACGCAGUGACGGAGGCUGAGGAGUCGGCGACCUGUGGUCGGCGGCUUGGGGGCCCAAGGGAGCAGAUGGCAUGAGUUCCAGCCCAAAAGCCAGCGGGCUCGAGACGGGGAAGGGCCCAAAUUUCAGUCUGAGUCAGAAGGCAGGGAAAGACUAUCUCAGCUCCUUCGUCAGGCUGGAGGGGUCCCCUCUUACUCAGCCUUUUGUUCCGGGCCUUCAACUGAUUGGGUAAGGCCCAUCAGGCUGGGGCAGGCCAUCUGCUUUAUUCAGUCUACUCACUCAAAUGCGAAGCUCCCCCAGAAAUACGAACAUACACAGAAUAAGUGUGGGUUCCAAAUGACGGGGACCCCUGCAGCCCAGGCAGCUCGACCCAGCCGGCGAACCCUCCCUCGUGGCUUCUGUCCAUGUAAUGGGGUGGAAUUCUGCCCCACCUCCCCCUGCGGGGCCAAGGCUGCCACAAUCCUGAGCUGGUUUAGACAAGACACAGAGGAAGCUGCAGGACCUCGUCAAGGGCUGGGCGAGGCCGCAGAAGUCGGACUCGGGGGAGCACUGCCAAGGGUGUGGACUUAGGAUCUCAGCCCCCAAAGGUGCCUGGAGGGCAGUCAUUGCCGGACAGCCGGGGACAACAGGACCCAAGUCUCAGGGCCUUCGUCAGCUCGGCCUGGGCGAACCAGACCGCAUUGUUUGUUUGCUAACAGCCUGGAGGCUGCAAGUCCAGAAGGUCAAGUGCAGGCUCGGCCGGCUCCCAGGGCCGCCAGCGAGAGUCUGGUCCAGGCCUCCUCCGAGUUCCUGGUGGUUUCCGGUGACCUGUGGGUUCCUGGCUUGGACAAGCACCCCUGGGCCUCGGCCUUCGUCCUCAUGUGACCAGUCGCCCCGAGUCUUCUCCUCCGCGAGGACUUGUCCCUGGAUUUAGGAUCCCUUGAGAUGCGGGGUGACCCCCCCCCCGCGAGCUGAAUAACUUCGCUCCCAUUGCGAAGCCCCUUCUCCCAGUGCGAUCACAUGCGAGGUACGAGGGCUUAGGAUGCCACAUAUGAACUUGGCGGGGACACAACUCGCCCCGUAACCUCCCCCCACCCAGGGUGGAAGCAGACCAGCAGGUGUGAUGCAGGGGGUCAGGCUGGAUGGUGAGGGGGGGGGCAGACACCCUGCGCCUCGGGCCGAAGGCUCCGGGAAGGUCAACCCCACCCCCAGCACAGGUGCUCCGUCCGUCGGGCCGUCGGGGCCCCGGCCCCCCCACCCCGGGCCCCCGCUCAGGUGCUACGGGCGUGGCCUCUGGCGAAGCGGGACCAAGGCCCUUCCUUACGGGCAGGUGUCCGUUUCUGCCCCUCAGGACCUUGGGCCCUGGGGCCCCUGCAGAGGGUCAGGGUCUGGCCAGCACCCUGGGUUUUGUUGUGGUGGCUGUUUUUAAUUUUACGACACAUGGAAGUUCCCGGGCCAGAGACUGAAUCUGAGCCACAGCUGUGACCUGCACUGAAGUCCUGGCAAACCAGAUCCUUCUAACCCACUGCCCGGGCUGGGGAUUGAACCUUCCCCUCCUAGGCAACCCAAGCCGCUGCAGUCGGAUUCUUAACUCACGGCACCCCCAUGGGAACUCUAUGGCCAGUAUCCUUUGCCCUGGUCAAGGGUGAAAGUGACAAUGGCCUAGGAGCCACCGGACGUCCCAUCUCUGAAACUGGAGCAGGACCCAUGGGAAAAGUCCGACAGUUACUCGUAAAAGAAAAGAAGACGCCCCCAAGGUGGCACCAGCUCUGCAGGGCUCCUGUGGCCGAGCCCCCCCACCCCGGGAAGUGGGGGCAGUUGCAUCCGGGACUUUGGAGCCCCAGGGAGGCCCGGCCAGGUGCCCCACUGUCCUGGGCUGCAUGUCCUGCCCCCGGGACUCGAGGUCUGCCUACAACCACGUGCUCCUCCCAAGUUUCUCAGCAUCAAAAUCAAGUUUCCUGAUGGUUUGCAGAAAACAUUUUAGAGAUAAUAAAACAAACAAGCAGAGAGGGCACAGGACGUCUGCGGGUGGGUGUGGAGGGCUGGGCGUCACCCACACACAGGGCUCCACGGCGUCCCAGAGCCAGCACGGGACAGAGAGCAGCAGGGGCGAGGCCGUGCUCCCAAACGGAGCGUGGGGUGCAGGGGACCGGACGUCCCACCGGGAGGGGACUCAGAGGGGCUACAGAGCCCGCGUGGAGGAGCGUCAUGGAUGCGCCAGCAGGAACUGGGGCGGGGGGGGCCUCCAAUAGGACGGAGAGGCCACACCCGAGAGACCUGCAGGUCUGUGGCCCCAUCCUGGUCUGUGGGGCUCUCUCCACGACCCCCGCACCUGUGCCCUUCGGGGAUGGGGUGCGGGAGGGAACACUAGAGUGGGGAUUUGGAGACGGAGACAGAGAGGACCCCCAGCCCAGAGGGAGCUGUGGCCCUGCGCUGGCACCUGCACUGAGGGCUCCUGGAAAAAGAGACGGGGGCAGAACGGGACAGAGCUGCACGCUGGCGGCCCGGGGGCAUGGGGGCCGCUAUGGGUGGUGACCCAGGCUCAGCACCCCACUUGGCCAUGCCUGGGGGAGGGGACGGCUCCCCAACUGCCCUCUGCAAGGGGCUCGAUGGGGUGGAAGGAGCAGGGCAGAGCUAUGACCCGGAGUAGGGGCUGGGGGAAGAGGGUGCCCAGCCCCGCGGAGGCCAGUGACCUAGAGUCCCGUCCUCCUGCCCCCACGGCCAACCCAGGAAGGUGAGGGGCUUGCGCUUUGCUCAUCUGUUUACAAAUGUUGGUUGAACCCCUAGUCUGUGCCAGGCCAGAAAAGUGGCCCCCAGAAUGGGCACAGAUGCUGCCCACAGGCUGGCUCUCUGGGGAGGCAAGGCGUGGGGGCUUCCUGCUCCUGCUGCAGGCCCAGUGGGGAGGGGCACAGCCUCCCAGCUCCCCCACCCCAAGCUCCCCACCACCCACCCUGUCUGCACUUUGGGUCAGCUGGGCUCCUUGCUCCGCCCCCCCAGGGCCAAGGCUCCCAGGCCCCCUGGGAGACUGACCCAGGCGGGGCCCCCACUGCCAUGGCCCUGAGUUCUUGGAAUGCUGUG
rnacentral:lncRNA from 1 species